rnacentral:rRNA from 1 species
ACACAUGCAGUCGAACGAUGACUCUGUGCUUGCACAGAUGAUUAGUGGCGAACGGGUGAGUAACACGUGAGUAACCUGCCCUUGACUCUGGGAUAAGCCUGGGAAACUGGGUCUAAUACUGGAUAUGCACCGUGGACCGCAUGGUUCUUGGUGGAAAGAUUUUAUUGGUCAAGGAUGGACUCGCGGCCUAUCAGCUUGUUGGUGAGGUAAUGGCUCACCAAGGCGACGACGGGUAGCCGGCCUGAGAGGGUGACCGGCCACACUGGGACUGAGACACGGCCCAGACUCCUACGGGAGGCAGCAGUGGGGAAUAUUGCACAAUGGGCGAAAGCCUGAUGCAGCGACGCCGCGUGAGGGAUGACGGCCUUCGGGUUGUAAACCUCUUUCAGUAGGGAAGAAGCGAAAGUGACGGUACCUGCAGAAGAAGCGCCGGCUAACUACGUGCCAGCAGCCGCGGUAAUACGUAGGGCGCAAGCGUUAUCCGGAAUUAUUGGGCGUAAAGAGCUCGUAGGCGGUUUGUCGCGUCUAUCGUGAAAGUCCGAGGCUCAACCUCGGAUCUGCGGUGGGUACGGGCAGACUAGAGUGAUGUAGGGGAGACUGGAAUUCCUGGUGUAGCGGUGAAAUGCGCAGAUAUCAGGAGGAACACCGAUGGCGAAGGCAGGUCUCUGGGCAUUAACUGACGCUGAGGAGCGAAAGCAUGGGGAGCGAACAGGAUUAGAUACCCUGGUAGUCCAUGCCGUAAACGUUGGGCACUA